UCCAAAAGGGGAGAAACUCGUGUUUUUCAAUCUAGGAAAGGGUAAACUUAUUCUUGCUUGCUUCUUUGGAGAUCAAUAAAGUGAUUUAGCAAAACACAUUUAUCUUAAACAUAAUAGUUCUAAUUUUGAAAAUUAUUACUUCCGCAGUGUUCAUUAUGAUGUCUACAGAUUGAGCCGAUAACUUUGGCGAUGAUUUUGGUUCGGCGCAUCUGUAACAAUGGCGAUUUACUUCACAAAUCUGCAAUGAGUCAAGGAAUCUCAAUUGGGUUGACAAAUAUGGGUUCAGUGAUGCAUUUGGGUAAGUUGUAUGUGAGGUUAAGCUUUUGUCAUCCAAAAGAUUUGGUGAUCACUUAUAUGAAUAUGGGGCUGCAGUUUGUUAUAGAGCUUGUAUGGUUGCUCUUAAGGGGAAGGAAAAAGUGAAAGAAGGUGCCAUCAUUGUGGAACAUUUGGCCACUGAUUUCAUGAUUGUUGAUCCUUUAACCAAAGCCUUUCCAAAUGGAGUUUUCAAAGCUCAUAUUGCUCAAACAGGAGUGGUGGAUGCUCUUGAUAAGUGGGAGUAAUUAUAUCUGUUAUCAAGAGCUUAUGGAAGCCUGUUGUGGAAUGCUUUACAAGUGGGAGUAUGUUGCACAAGGUUUUCUGGAAGCUAAGUGUUCUAGUUUAGAACUUUAUGCUUUAUAGUUAGUUUUAUGCUUUGUAGCUAGAUUUUGUUUAUGUUAUCUAGUUAGUUGAUGUUUUCAUAUAGUUCAACCCCUCCAGAUAAAUCUGUGAUCAGUUGUUCAAUGAAAACAGUUUGAUAAUUCAAU